rnacentral:lncRNA from 1 species
UUCAAGUAAAGCUUUAAAGAUGAACAAAGAAAAUAAUAGUUCAAGUAAAGCUUUAAAGAUGAACAAAUCGAUUGCAUAAUCUUCUUGCUUACAAAAAAAAAAAAAUAGCUUUUAAGUUUUUUUCAAUAACCCAACAAAAAAUAGUGAAAUAUUUAGUUGUUUAGAGCUCUUCAAAGAUAAGGCAAACAAGAAAACCAAAAACCC